AGUGAACGCUGGCGGUAGGCCUAACACAUGCAAGUCGAACGGCAGCACAGGAGAGCUUGCUCUCUGGGUGGCGAGUGGCGGACGGGUGAGGAAUACAUCGGAAUCUACUCUGUCGUGGGGGAUAAUGUAGGGAAACUUACGCUAAUACCGCAUACGACCUACGGGUGAAAGCAGGGGAUCUUCGGACCUUGCGCGAUUGAAUGAGCCGAUGUCGGAUUAGCUAGUUGGCGGGGUAAAGGCCCACCAAGGCGACGAUCCGUAGCUGGUCUGAGAGGAUGAUCAGCCACACUGGAACUGAGACACGGUCCAGACUCCUACGGGAGGCAGCAGUGGGGAAUAUUGGACAAUGGGCGCAAGCCUGAUCCAGCCAUACCGCGUGGGUGAAGAAGGCCUUCGGGUUGUAAAGCCCCUUUGUUGGAAAGAAAUCCAGCUGGCUAAUACCCGGUUGGGAUGACGGUACCCAAAGAAUAAGCACCGGCUAACUUCGUGCCAGCCGCCGCCGUAA
rnacentral:rRNA from 1 species